ACGGAGGAUGCGAGCGUUAUCCGGAUUUAUUGGGCUUAAAGGGCGCGUAGGUGGACUGUUAAGUCAGUGGUGAAAUGCUGAUGCUCAACGUUAGCAUUGCCGUUGAAACUGACAGUCUUGAGUGUGAUUGAGGCAGGCGGAAUGUGUGGUGGAGGGGUGAAAUGCAUAGAUAUCAGGAGGAACCCCGGUGGCGAAGGCGACUUCCAAAGCCACAACUGACACUGAAGCACGAAAGCGUGGGGAUCAAACAG
rnacentral:rRNA from 1 species